rnacentral:rRNA from 1 species
AUUGAACGCUGGCGGCAUGCUUUACACAUGCAAGUCGAACGGUAACAGGCCGCAAGGUGCUGACGAGUGGCGAACGGGUGAGUAAUGCAUCGGAACGUGCCCAGUCGUGGGGGAUAACUACUCGAAAGAGUAGCUAAUACCGCAUACGAUCUAUGGAUGAAAGCGGGGGACCGUAAGGCCUCGCGCGAUUGGAGCGGCCGAUGUCGGAUUAUGUAGUUGGUGGGGUAAAGGCUCACCAAGCCAACGAUCUGGAGCUGGUCUUAGAGACGGACCAGCCACACUGGGACUGAGACACGGCCCAGACUCCUACGGGAGGCAGCAGUGGGGAAUUUUGGACAAUGGGCGCAAGCCUGAUCCAGCAAUGCCGCGUGCAGGAAGAAGGCCUUCGGGUUGUAAACUGCUUUUGUACGGAACGAAACGGCUCUGGUUAAUACCCGGGGCUAAUGACGGUACCGUAAGAAUAAGCACCGGCUAACUACGUG